UGAAAUGCUCCUGGACAAUGUGUAUGCAAUGCCCUUUAUUAGGGGCUUUUAAUUUUUGUCACUAAGUAACAAUUUUUAUCAUCCAUGAAGAUAUCUCUGCACCACCACCUUCGAGUUCCCCAAGGGCCUUUUCUAAUUCUACGAUUUAUUCUCCCUGACAGUAACUCACUAAUCAGUGGAAUCCGCGGGUCCUGUGAAUCAUCUUAGCAAUGGUUAAUAUUCACUGAAAUCACGUAUCAAACAUGUUGGGAUGCUUGAAGGAGACUGAAAAGUAAAGCAUUUUAUAUACAUUAUCUCACAAAGAUUUAUAAGCUUCCUAUAAGGUACCUCUCUCAUCAGUAUUUUCCACAUGAGGAAAUUGAAACUUAGACAGAUAAGUGACAUUUCCCAGAUGAACCACGUAGGGCUGCUUGAGCUGGAAUUUCAGACCUAUCUGACUCCAGAGGCAGAGCUCCUCAUGUUGGUGGGUUUUUUUCGUGGUUGUUUGUUUGUUUUUGUUUGUUUGUCUGUUUUUGUUUUUUGCUUGUUUUCCUGAUUAGUUUGUAGGUACUCUUUCUCUUGAUACAAGGGAAUGGUUUUAUGCCCUUGGAAAUUCAGUUCCAUUGGAAAGAGAGGCAAACAGCAAUCCGAAUGGCCAGGUAAUCAUCAGCUGGUAAUCAGGAAUUAUGAAGGAGCUGAGUGCCAAGCCUGGGAGAGACCAACCUUCGUCCUGGGUUGUGGCACGGGACAAGCAGGUGGUCCAGGUGCUACCAGCCCUGGGUAAGCAGAGUACCCCCGGGCCAGGGUGACCUUCCGCCCAGGUCUGGGUUUUGGAUUUUUGCAGGAGCAAGCAAGGAGGACCGGGCGGGGGUGUGCUGGAAAUGGAACAGCAUCGGGAAGAAGGAGGAACCCAGAUAGGACCGGGGUUAGAUGGUCUCUUAACAUUGGGCUCUCCUCCCUUUGAAAACAGUGACUUUUGUCUCCAAGCCCGGAGGGAUGGGUCCUAUACUGUUCUGCUUGUGGUCACAUAGGAAGAACAGAACGAUGCUUUCUUGUAGUUCGUCUUUUUCCCUGAAAAAUGCCUCAGGAUAAAUCACACGCAUGCCACCAAGGUCUCCACAGACCUAGUUUUCAACUUGGCUGGAUUAGAUUUGGUCUUUUUCCUCAUUGUCUCCACCAUUUCAAAGAACACCGUAUAUUUAUAACUUUUGCGAGAACUCUCUUUAAUAAAAACAAAAGUAAU